rnacentral:rRNA from 1 species
AUUGAACGCUGGCGGCAUGCUUUACACAUGCAAGUCGAACGGUAACAGGUCUUCGGAUGCUGACGAGUGGCGAACGGGUGAGUAAUACAUCGGAACGUGCCUAGUAGUGGGGGAUAACUACUCGAAAGAGUAGCUAAUACCGCAUGAGAUCUACGGAUGAAAGCAGGGGACCUUCGGGCCUUGUGCUACUAGAGCGGCUGAUGGCAGAUUAGGUAGUUGGUGGGGUAAAGGCUUACCAAGCCUGCGAUCUGUAGCUGGUCUGAGAGGACGACCAGCCACACUGGGACUGAGACACGGCCCAGACUCCUACGGGAGGCAGCAGUGGGGAAUAUUGGACAAUGGGCGAAAGCCUGAUCCAGCAAUGCCGCGUGCAGGAUGAAGGCCCUCGGGUUGUAAACUGCUUUUGUACGGAACGAAAAGCCUGGGGCUAAUAUCCCCGGGUCAUGACGGUACCGUAAGAAUAAGCACCGGCUAACUACGUG